UUUGAAAAUGUAUUUUUUGGCGCUUUGAGGACCACAAGCCGAGUGUCAUCUAAUUCCAUUAUAUUUGAGAGAAGGCAGACAUCUCUAUGGCCGAUAUUUUCAUAGCAGGUAAAC